GCAGAAUAGACCAAACUCGUAAUGAAGAGAGCCAAAGGCCACAUACAUUAAGCAAAAUUUAAUUUUGAAAUUUUAUAAUAUGGCGAAAUCUGAUUUUAUUUUAAAUAUUAUAUUUGAAGUUUUCACUUUUUUCACUCCUUUUUUUCUUAGAAAAAAUUCAAAAACAAUUUCAUUAUAUUCAUGUUCAAGCAUAAUUUUAACUCCAAUUUCAAUUCCCAACUCAAAAAAA
rnacentral:lncRNA from 1 species